rnacentral:misc_RNA from 1 species
UCUCCGUUGGUGAACCAGCGGAGGGAUCAUUACAAGAAGCCGAAAGGCUGCUUAAAACCAUCGCGAACCUAUCCAUCAGCGUUGCUUCGGCGGGAGGAGGCCGCGGGCCGGCGUCUGUCGGGCCCGGGGCCGGGGACCCGCACCCUUUCGGGGGUGCGGGGCCCGCCCGCCGGAGGUAUGAAACUCUGCAUAGUGGAAUCUCUGAGUAAGUAAGCAAAUAAGUCAAAACUUUCAACAACGGAUCUCUUGGUUCUG